UACGUAGGGAGCGAGUGUUGUCCGGAUUUAUUGGGCGUAAAGCGCGCGUAGGCGGUUUGGUAAGCCGGGUGUGAAACCUCCAAGCUCAACUUUGGAGCGGCCACUCGGAACUGCCCAUGACUCGAGUCAGGUAGGGGGAACACGGAAUUCCAGGUGUAGCGGUGAAAAUGCGCAGAUAUCAGGGAGGAACACCAAAUGGCGAAGGCAGCACUCUGGGACGUGACUGACGCUGGAGACGCGAAAAGCGUGGGGGAGCAAACAGG
rnacentral:rRNA from 1 species